rnacentral:rRNA from 1 species
UACGAGGGGUGCAAGCGUUGCUCGGAAUUAUUGGGCGUAAAGGGUAGGUAGGUGGUCUCAUUUGUCUGGGGUGAAAGCCUUGGGCUUAACUCAAGAAGUGCCCCGGAAACGGUGAGACUAGAGUCUUGGAGAGGGUCGUGGAAUUCCCGGUGUAGCGGUGAAAUGCGUAGAGAUCGGGAGGAACACCAGAGGCGAAGGCGGCGACCUGGACAAGUACUGACACUCAACUACGAAAGCGUGGGGAGCAAACAGG